rnacentral:rRNA from 1 species
ACGUAGGGCGCGAGCGUUGUCCGGGAUUCUUGGGCGUAAAGAGCUCGUAGGCGGUUUGUCGCGUCUGCUGUGAAAACUCGGGGCUUAACUCCGGGCCUGCAGUGGGUACGGGCAGACUAGAGUGCGGUAGGGGAGACUGGAAUUCCUGGUGUAGCGGUGAAAUGCGCAGAUAUCAGGAGGAACACCGGUGGCGAAGGCGGGUCUCUGGGCCGUAACUGACGCUGAGGAGCGAAAGCGUGGGGAGCGAACAGG